rnacentral:rRNA from 1 species
GACGAACGCUGGCGGCGUGCUUAACACAUGCAAGUCGGACGGAAAGGCCCUGCUUUUGUGGGGUGCUCGAGUGGCGAACGGGUGAGUAACACGUGAGUAACCUGCCCUUGACUUUGGGAUAACUUCGGGAAACUGGGGCUAAUACCGGAUAGGAGCUCCUGCUGCAUGGUGGGGGUUGGAAAGUUUCGGCGGUUGGGGAUGGACUCGCGGCUUAUCAGCUUGUUGGUGGGGUAGUGGCUUACCAAGGCUUUGACGGGUAGCCGGCCUGAGAGGGUGACCGGCCACAUUGGGACUGAGAUACGGCCCAGACUCCUACGGGAGGCAGCAGUGGGGAAUAUUGCACAAUGGGCGGAAGCCUGAUGCAGCAACGCCGCGUGCGGGAUGACGGCCUUCGGGUUGUAAACCGCUUUCGCCUGUGACGAAGCGUGAGUGACGGUAAUGGGUAAAGAAGCACCGGCUAACUACGUG